rnacentral:rRNA from 1 species
CCAUCGGUGUUCCUCCACAUCUCUACGCAUUUCACUGCUACACGUGGAAUUCCACCCCCCUCUGCCACACUCAAGCCCGCUAGUUUCAAGCGCAAUUCCCAGGUUAAGCCCGGGGAUUUCACACCUGACUUGGCGAACCGCCUGCGCACGCUUUACGCCCAGUAAUUCCGAUUAACGCUCGCACCCUACGUAUUACCGCGGCUGCUGGCACGUAGUUAGCCGGUGCUUCUUCUUACGGUACCGUCAGUAACCGGCGUUAUUCACGCCAGCCGUUUCGUUCCGUCCGAAAGAGCUUUACAACCCGAAGGCCUUCUUCACUCACGCGGCAUGGCUGGAUCAGGGUUGCCCCCAUUGUCCAAAAUUCCCCACUGCUGCCUCCCGUAGGAGUCUGGGCCGUGUCUCAGUCCCAGUGUGGCUGAUCAUCCUCUCAGACCAGCUACGGAUCGUCGCCUUGGUGGGCCUUUACCCCACCAACUAGCUAAUCCGACAUCGGCCACUCCUGCAGCGCGAGGCCCGAAGGUCCCCCGCUUUCCUCCUCAGAGCGUAUGCGGUAUUAAUCCGGCUUUCGCCGAGCUAUCCCCCACUCCAGGACAUGUUCCGAUGUAUUACUCACCCGUUCGCCACUCGUCGCCAGGGUUGCCCCCGCGUUACCGUUCGACUUGCAUGUGUAAAGCAUGCCGCCAGCGUUCAAUCUGAGCCAGGAUCAAACUCU